UACGGAGGAUGCAAACGUGAUCCGGAAUUAUUGGGCGUAAAGCGUCCGCAGGUGGUUAUUCAAGUCUGCUGUUAAAGCGUGGAGCUUAACUCCAUAUCGGCAGUGGAAACUGGAUGACUAGAGUUCGGUAGGGGUAGCGGGAAUUCCCAGUGUAGCGGUGAAAUGCGUAGAUAUUGGGAAGAACACCAGCGGCGAAAGCGCGCUACUGGGCCGAGACUGACACUGAGGGACGAAAGCUAGGGGAGCGAAAGGG
rnacentral:rRNA from 1 species